UACGUAGGGGGCAAGCGUUGUCCGGAUUUACUGGGCGUAAAGAGCGUGUAGGCGGCCAAACAGGUCCGUUGUGAAAACUGGAGGCUCAACUUCCAGACGUCGACGGAAACCGUGUGGCUAGAGUCCGGAAGAGGAGAGUGGAAUUCCUGGUGUAGCGGUGAAAUGCGCAGAUAUCAGGAAGAACACCAAUGGCGAAGGCAGCUCUCUGGGACGGUACUGACGCUGAGACGCGAAAGCGUGGGGAGCGAACAGGAUUCAGAUACCCG
rnacentral:rRNA from 1 species